rnacentral:lncRNA from 10 species
GACUCCCGUCACCGGGGAGCCGGCGGUCUGGGGCCGUGGUGACCCGAGGGCUUCUUUUUCUCCCCCUACGCGUUUGUGCCGCCCUGGGGCAUCCUGGGAGAACCGAGCGCUCCGCCUUGAAGCGCUGUGGGAGUCGGUCCGCUAGUCGUAGGCCUGGUGCAUCCUGGGAAAGAGUGUCCCAGAUCCUUGUCGAGACCGGUUCCUUUUAUCCCACACCUGCCGCUGACCGUCCUGGAGGCUUGGAGCGCUUCCACACGGGGAGUCUGGGAAGUUUGGCUGCCAUAGGCGUGGUAGGAGUGGGACUUGUGAACCAAGGGAUGGCCCUACCUGACGUCUGGAAUACUCUGGAAGGGGCCUUGUGUGACGUGGGCUUGGAAAAGUGUAGGCUGAUGGGCAUUGUCUCCUGGUAACUUCAGGGAAUGUCUUGAUUGUCCCAGCAUCCCUCUCUACCUGCCAACAUCCUGUAUUAGAGAACUUGUGGCCGGAGGUGUGGCUGUGGAGAGCUGGCCGGGGAGGGACGCUGCUCAGCUGCUGCUCUGCUCCUGUCUCCUGUCCCCUCCCCCGGUCAUGACAGAGACCCGUGAGCCAGCUGAGACUGGGGGCUACGCCAGCUUGGAAGAAGAUGAUGAAGACCUUUCCCCAGGUAAGGUGGCCUUAGAGGUGGUGGCGUCGGCUUGACUGUCAUCCUGGCUUAGGGUUUGGCCCCCACUGGGAAAUGUUGAUGGGGAGUGGCUGCUUGUCUUGCUAGGGGUUCUAUUCUGACUGAGACUGCUUGUCCUAGUAGGGGAUCUCUUCCAGUCGGGACUUCUGGGGACUGUAGAUUGACUGGGGUCGCUCUCCUUGCUAGAGGUUCUAGAUUGGCUAUGAUUUCCUUCUUUGCUGGGGGUUCUAGAUCGGCUAUGAGCUUUCUCCUUGCUGGAGGCUCUAGGUCGACU